GUUGGCAUGAGCCAUCUUGCCCAAUUGCCAACCAAGUUUUUAAGAAUCCUCCAAUAAUCCCCCAAACUCUCCCUUCUCUUUCAGAUAGUGGGACUCUGUGCUCAUGCCAGUAAGUAAAGAAGAAGGAAUAAGAAAGACACUGUGUGAUCUAGUAUUAAUAAGGAACUGGGCUUUUCUCCUCUUCUCUGCUGGAUUCUGCUGUUUCCCACAAGGUGUUCAGAGAGUCUGCCCUGAAUCCUACAAGCAGGAGAUGAGAAACACACAGUGACACCAGCAGGAGAACAUGAAGAUGUGGUGACAGUUGUCCUCCUCCUGCAGAGUCCAGAGCAGUGCACUCCUACCACUGGUGCCCUAGCUAAGCCUGGGGCCAGCAUGCCCGAUGAUAGUCUGGGAGUGCUGCAGAGUCCCCACAAUGGGCACCCAGCCUGUGCCCUUGCAUUCUGCAUGAUCGUGGCCAUUGUCACCUCAGAGCCCCUGUGUACAGAUCAGUGCAUCCUAGCAGAGCUGCAUGUGAGGAAAGACCACGUGAGUCCCGGGAAAGAGCUGAGGCCCUGCAGGGGAAGGUGGCCAGGACCGAGACCUGAUGCCUGUCUGGAGAAUCGUCUGUGGGUCCAAGAUGAAGGAUGAGAA
rnacentral:lncRNA from 1 species